CGGGGCGUGGCUCAGCCUGGUAGAGCGCUGCGUUCGGGACGCAGAAGUCGCUAGUUCAAAUCUAGUCGCCCCGA
rnacentral:tRNA from 2 species